UCAAUGGCCUAACGGCUGAACUGGCAACUUGGAGAAGUGGCAAGUCUUCCAGUAUGGGGAGCAAAACAGCUAUGGGUCAAGUCCGAUAUCUUUAGGAGGCGCGAAGCUCCUCUUAUUGUGAGGGCGAGUUUUAUAACACCAUAGGACUGGCCGUCCCAUAUGAAAAGAUUAUAUUAGAAUUGAAUGAAGCUUUGUUUAUAUAUUGAUAAUGACAGUAUAUAUAUCGUGUCUUGACUAAUUGCGUGCCAGCAGUCGCGGUAAUACGUAAGAGACUAGUGUUAUUCAUCUUAAUUAGGUUUAAAGGGUACCCAGACGGUCAAUAUAGCUUAUAAAAUGUUAGUACUUGACUAGAGUUUUAUGUAAGAGGGCAGUACUUGAGGAGGAGAGAUGAAAUUUCGUGAUACCAAAGGGACUCGGUAAAGGCGAAGGCAGCCCUCUAGGUAAAAACUGACGUUGAAGGACGAAGGCACAGAGAACAAACAGGAUUAGAUACCCAAGUAGUCUUUGCAGUAAAUGAUGAAUGCCAUAGGUUAGAUCUGAGUUGGUAGUCUAGUUGAGUUAGUUUACUAAACUAAUGAUCUAUACAAGCCAGCCUUAGAUUUGGUCUAUAAAUGAAAGUGUAAGCAUUUCACCUCAAGAGUAAUGUGGCAACGCAGGAACUGAAAUCACUAGACCGUUUCUGACACCAGUAGUGAAGUAUGUUAUU
rnacentral:rRNA from 1 species